rnacentral:misc_RNA from 1 species
UGAAAUGCGAAAAGUAAUGCGAUUUGCAUGAAUCUGUGAGUCAUCAAGUCUUUGAACGCACCUUGCACCGCAUGAGCAAUCGUACGGUAUACCUGUUUGAGAAUCGUAAAAACCCCUUUCCACACCCUAGUGGUGUGGGAGACUUGUCGGCUGUGCUGGCCCCUUUGGGGGGCAGUACUCUGAUUAAAUGUAGUAGGUCUGGAUCGGGCUGGUGGCCUGGGACAUUGUGUGCUAGAGACGUUUGCUUCGGCUUGCUGUCUUGUCACAGUGCGUCCCUGGGCUACUCAAAGCCGGCUCGGUCAGUAGGACUUGACAGUGUGCCCAGUUCAUUUUUAUGGAUGGAUUGGGCCACAACCCCACAUUUUUGAUCUCAAAUCAGGUAAGGCUACCCGCUGAACUU